GAUGAACGCUGGCGGCGUGCCUAAUACAUGCAAGUCGAACGAAAGCACCAGAAGCUUGCUCUUUUCAUGUUAGCGGCGGACGGGUGAGUAACACGUGGAUAACCUACUUAUAAGACGGGGAUAACAUCGGGAAACCGGUGCUGAUACCGCAUAAUACUUCGAACCGCAUGGCUCAAAGGGGAAACGCGGCCUUCGCGUCUGUUUUAGAUUGUUCCGCGCUGCAUUAGCUAGUUGGUAAGGUAACGGCCUACCAAGGCACCGAUGCAUAGCCGACCUGAGAGGGUGAUCGGCCACAUUGGAACUGAGACACGGUCCAGACUCCUACGGGAGGCAGCAGUAGGGAAUCUUCCGCAAUGGGCGAAAGCCUGACGGAGCAACGCCGCGUGAGUGAAGAAGGUCUUCGGAUCGUAAAACUCUGUUGUUAGGGAAGAACAGAUGUGGGAGUAACUGUGCACGUCUUGACGGUACCUAAUCAGAAAGCCACGGCUAACUACGUG
rnacentral:rRNA from 1 species